UACAGAGGGGGCAAGCGUUAUUCGGAAUUAUUGAGCGUAAAGGGCGCGUAGGCAACUUUGCAAGUGGCGGGUGAAAUCCCUCGGCUUAACCGAGGAACUGCCUGUCAAACUGCAUGGCUUGAGACCGGGAGAGGUGAGUGGAAUUCCCAGUGUAGCGGUGAAAUGCGUAGAUAUUGGGAGGAACACCAGUGGCGAAAGCGGCUCACUGGACCGGUACUGACGCUGAUGCGCGAAAGCGUAGGGAGCAAACAGG
rnacentral:rRNA from 1 species